rnacentral:rRNA from 1 species
AUUGAACGCUGGCGGCAGGCCUAACACAUGCGAGUCGAGCGGAUGAAGGGAGCUUGCUCCUGGAUUCAGCGGCGGACGGGUGAGUAAUGCCUAGGAAUCUGCCUGGUAGUGGGGGAUAACGUCCGGAAACGGGCGCUAAUACCGCAUACGUCCUGAGGGAGAAAGUGGGGGAUCUUCGGACCUCACGCUCUCAGAUGAGCCUAGGUCGGAUUAGCUAGUUGGUGGGGUAAAGGCCUACCAAGGCGACGAUCCGUAACUGGUCUGAGAGGAUGAUCAGUCACACUGGAACUGAGACACGGUCCAGACUCCUACGGGAGGCAGCAGUGGGGAAUAUUGGACAAUGGGCGAAAGCCUGAUCCAGCCAUGCCGCGUGUGUGAAGAAGGUCUUCGGAUUGUAAAGCACUUUAAGUUGGGAGGAAGGGCAGUAAGUUAAUACCUUGCUGUUUUGACGUUACCAACAGAAUAAGCACCGGCUAACUUCGUG